ACCUCGAGCUUCUCGGUUCCUUUGCGCGAUUUAGACCCUUCUUGUGAAUUUCUGACCCGCGAUCAAUCCCGAAUAUUUUUCCGCUCCCAUUCUGAUUCUCUUAAUAUUUUUAAUAAACUACAGAUGAUGUUUGAUAUCCUUUAAAAAUAUUUCCCGAGCCUCCGGCUUCCUCAAAGAAUUUCGUAAUACCAAAAUUAGGGUUUU
rnacentral:lncRNA from 1 species